GAUGAUCGCUGGCGGCGUGCUUAACACAUGCAAGUCAAACGAGAAGUGAAGACGGAGACCUUCGGGCGGAAGGCUUUAUUUCGAGUGGCGGACGGGUGAGUAACGCGUGGGUAACCUGCCUCAUACAGGGGGAUAACAGUUGGAAACGACUGUUAAUACCGCAUAAGACCACAGCACCGCAUGGUGCGGGGGUAAAAACUCCGGUGGUAUGAGAUGGACCCGCGUUCGAUUAGCCAGUUGGCGGGGUAACGGCCCACCAAAGCGACGAUCGAUAGCCGAUCUGAGAGGAUGACCGGCCACGUUGGGACUGAGACACGGCCCAAACUCCUACGGGAGGCAGCAGUGGGGAAUAUUGCACAAUGGGGGAAACCCUGAUGCAGCGACGCCGCGUGAGUGAAGAAGUAUUUCGGUAUGUAAAGCUCUAUCAGCAGGGAAGAAAAUGACGGUACCUGAGUAAGAAGCCCCGGCUAACUACGUG
rnacentral:rRNA from 1 species